rnacentral:rRNA from 1 species
GAUGAACGCUGGCGGUGUGCCUAAUACAUGCAAGUCGAGCGAACAGACGAGGAGAUUGCUCUCCUGACGUUAGCGGCGGACGGGUGAGUAACACGUGGAUAACCAACCUAUAAGACUGGGAUAACUUCGGGAAACCGGAGCUAAUACCGGAUAAUAUAUUGAACCGCAUGGUUCAAGAGUGGAAGAUGGUUUUGCUGUCACUGACAGAUGGAUCCGCGCCGCAUUAGCUAGUUGGUAAGGUAACGGCUUACCAAGGCAACGAUGCGUAGCCGACCUGAGAGGGUGAUCGGCCACACUGGAACUGAGACGCGGUCCAGACUCCUACGCGAGGCAGCAGUAGGGAAUCUUACGCAAUGGGCGAAAGCCUAACAUAGCAACGCCGCGUGAGUGAGGAAGGUCUUCGGAUCGUAAAACUCUCUUAUUAGGAAAGAACAAAAGUAUAAGUAACAAUACACAUCUUGACGGUACCUAAGCAGAAAACCACGGCUAACUACAUG